rnacentral:rRNA from 1 species
GAUGAACGCUGGCGGCGUGCCUAAUACAUGCAAGUCGAACGCUGGAGAUCUAGCUUGCUAGAUCGAAGGAGUGGCGAACGGGUGAGUAAUACAUAAGCAACCUACCCACGAAGACUGGGAUAAUCUCUGGAAACGGGGACUAAUACCGGAUAGGUAAUCGGAAGGCAUCUUCUGAUUAUUAAAGGUUAAAAACACUGGUGGAUGGGCUUAUGGCGCAUUAGUUAGUUGGUGAGGUAACGGCCCACCAAGACGAUGAUGCGUAGCCGGCCUGAGAGGGUGAACGGCCACAUUGGGAGUGAGACACGGCCCAGACUCCUACGGGAGGCAGCAGUAGGGAAUUUUCGGCAAUGGGGGAAACCCUGACCGAGCAACGCCGCGUGAGUGAUGACGGCCUUCGGGUUGUAAAGCUCUGUUGUAAGGGAAGAACGGUAG